GUCCACGCCGUAAACGAUGGGUGCUAGGUGUCACGGGCAUUGACUCUCGUGGUGCCGUAGCCAACGCAUUAAGCACCCCGCCUGGGAAGUACGGCCGCAAGGCUAAAACUCAAAGGAAUUGACGGGGGCCCCGCACAAGCGGUGGAGCAUGUGGUUUAAUUCGACGCAACGCGAAGAACCUUACCUGGGCUAGAAAAUGCAAGAAUCUGGGAGAAGUCUCGGAGUGCUCUUCGGAGAACUUGUAGUUAGGUGCUGCAUGGCUGUCGU
rnacentral:rRNA from 1 species